GACUCUCGGCAACGGAUAUCUUAGCUCUUGCAUCGAUGAAGAACAUAGCAAAAUGCGAUACUUGGUGUGAAUUGCAGAAUCCCGUGAACGCAACUUGCGCCCGAGGCCUCUUGGUUGAGGGCACUUCUGCUUGGGUGUCA
rnacentral:rRNA from 1 species